rnacentral:rRNA from 1 species
CUGGCUCAGGACGAACGCUGGCGGCGUGCCUAAUACAUGCAAGUCGAGCGGACUAAUGGGAGCUUGCUCCCGUUAGUUAGCGGCGGACGGGUGAGUAACACGUGGGCAACCUACCUGUAAGACUGGGAUAACUUCGGGAAACCGGAGCUAAUACCGGAUGACAUAAAGGAACUCCUGUUCCUUUAUUGAAAG